rnacentral:tRNA from 1 species
UCCCAGAUGGCCCAAUGCCUAAGACUCUGCACUUCCAAUGCAGGGGGCCUGGGUUUGAUCCCUGGUCAGGGAA